GCCACUUUAGCUCAGUUGGUAGAGCGCAUCAUUCGUAAUGAUGAGGUCACGUGUUCGAUCCACGUAAGUGGCA
rnacentral:tRNA from 1 species